CGGCGCAGGGCGGGGGUGGUGACCCCGCCAGCGCCUAACCACCAACUGCCUGAACAGGAGGCAAUCAUGGCUAC
rnacentral:antisense_RNA from 13 species